rnacentral:lncRNA from 1 species
AACUCCCUAAAAAUUAAUGUAAAAAAAGUUUGGUGUGCUUUGAUUGAGAAAAGGUCUGUAGCUUUUACUGGAUUCUCAGAAGAAUCUGGGACUCACCCCCCUCCCCAAACUUAUGAACCACUGUAGUUAAAGACAUCUAAGUCUAGAGAACCAUUCCAAGGCAAUUCCCAGUUUCUACAAUCAUGCAGGCAGAAGAGCAGUGUGUGGCUGGAGUCCACUUCCCUUAAGAGUCCCUGGGCUGCUUCUAAGGUGCAAAUUCCUCAUCCCAUCUCAGACCUGCAGAAACAGAGUCUGAGGAACUGGGGCUGGAGAAUCUGGCAUUUGAACAAGUUCUCCAGGUGAUUUUUAUGGCUGCUAAAGUUUGAAAAUCCACUGAUGUGGUAGUAAAACCUGCCUUUGGAGUCAGAUCCCCAUGCUUGGACCCACUACGUACAGCUGUGGGAACCCAGGGCUAUUACUUCACUUUCCUCAUCUGCAGAAUGGGGAGAAUAAUCAUACCUCCUUCAUAAAACUUGUGUGAAUAGUGAAACAGGUAAUGUCUGUACAGUGUUAAGGGCUUAAUAUGUUAAUUACUCAGUAAAUGUUAGCUAAACUGAUGAUAAUGAUUGUUAACCAGGGUUAUUACUGUCAGUACUAUUGUUAGGAGGGUAGGAGCAAAUCGAAGGCCCUGACUCUGUGGGAAGUUAAUGGAUAGAGCCAUUAAGUGUUUACUUCAGUUACUUUUGUGAGUCAUCUGGUUUGACCACAUACUUGUCACUGAUCACUUCUGUACUAGGAAGACUACUGAAAUGAAUGCAUCAGUCAGAUUACAGGUAAUAGGAAUUUCCUGCUUUCUCUUUGUUUCCAAUUUCUUCCUAUAAGUAUGUAUUUUUUUUUAAAACUUUGUUUCAAAAGAGCCUUUUAUAUAUGACUUACUGAAAAAUAAUUUAUAGUUUGUUAUCUGUGGUAUUAUGGUCAAUUGUUUAAUUAAUUGGUCAGGAAUUUCAUCCCCUCUAUUAUGUUCCUUGAAAAACUAAAUUGUACUUAAAUUGCUUUGGCUUAAAGGGCCUUUUUCAGGAAUUGAAACAUAUUCUCAGUAGGAGGCCCAUUUGGGGAGGCAUGGCAUUCUUGUUGCUGGUAUUAGAAUUCUAGAGGAUGUUGCCUGAUCUUGGAACUAUUGCUGAACUUCAUGAAAGACUGGAAAAUUCAUUUGAGAGUCUCCUUCUGAAAGAGCUUACAAAGCAACUGAGAAAAUCUUAGACGAAAAUACUUUCACUCAUCUUCAAAAAGGCAAACUUAGGUUUAUUUUUUAAAAUAUGUUAGGCUUAUUUUUGAAAAGAUAAAUGAUUUUUUAAAAUCAGAACUAGUGCAUAUAACACAUCAUUGUUUAGAAUUAUAUGUAUAUAUAUUUCAUAUGUAUAAAUAUUUGGAUUAUAGAUUAAAAAUCACACAGUUCAAAUCAAGACCAGGAGCCAAGCCGAAUGAAAAAAGACAAAGUAUUAAUAAUGCUAUUUUCAGGCAUUGCAUCUUAGGCUUAGUACUGAUUGCUAACAUUUUUUUAACGAGUUUCCAAUGAGAGAAACAAGUGGCAAAAUCCUCUGGUGGCAGUAAACGACUCAGGUAAGAAAGACAUGCAGCAAAGAACAGCAAAACCAGGGACAUAAGCCAACCAGGAGGGACAACAUGCAAUUUAAUUUCAAAGCAAAUUCACUAUUCUCACUAGGAAUAUCUUAAGGAAACACAACUGUGUGAGGGUGAAUUAAAAGUUUUGGUAACUGGUGAGGAAAAAUAAAAGAUAGUAAAGUGGUAACAGAAGAAUCUACUGAGAAGAGUCUCCAUUUUGUUUUUCCUUUAAUCUUCUCUCAGACAAUGAAUUGACUUCAGGUUGCCCUUGGAGCUCUUAUCAAGUACUGCUCUUGGCUUUAUGCCCUUGGCUGGAUAUUGCGCGGCUUGAACUCUUUCUCCAGAUCGUACUCUGGCACCGUGAGGUUGUGUCCUGUCCAGACACUGUCAUGGCCCCAUUCACUCCAGGAACAUCUCAGUAGUGUGACUGGGUGUGGAGGAAACACCCAGGGGGUUUCAGGGAGGAGUUUAGGUGCCUUGGGCCAGUGAGAUGGUGGGUCAGCGUGGUCCAGCUGCACAAGCUGAUAGAUCCACUGUGUCCCCCAAGCAUUUCCUCAUGGAGAGCCAAAAUUUAAAACUACCAGGAGGAGGAAAAUGUGCUGAGCCUGUAAUCAAGCCAAGUUGGUCCAUGGUCAGCUGAGAAGAAAAUGGCCUAAUUGGAAGCUCAGGUCAUCUGUCUUCUUCAGAUCUAAUGUCAGUGACCAUACUGUCCACUGUGCCUGGAACUGAGGGAAUUUCCUCUGCUCCACGCUUGCCCCAAUCUCUAAGACCUCUCCCACUCUCUUAAUUUGUUAGCUCAGCAGCUACAGCCAAUCUUCACACUGCGGUACAUUCUGUUCUCUUGGUUUCCAGCCCUGUUCUCAUCUCCAGCUCCUAAUCUUCCAGUGUAGAACUUGAAAAUUGCUUCAUUGCCUCACUUGUGUAAACCUCCAGAAGAAAGUUGUCUCUGCAAGUCAGGCUUGCUUUCUUCUGACAUCUCAUUUUCUGGAUCUCUGUCUCGGACUUUCUCACAUAUGCGCAUUUAUCAUGUAUGCACUCCAUAUUUUCUCUGUCUUUGCUCUCUCCUUGUUUUUACAGACUUCCUUCUAUCUUUCAAACACACGUUUCCUGGUAACUAUAAUUAUUUCCCUUGUAUUAAUAAUAUGGUAUUAAUAAUUAUGGGUCCUAUUCCCAUGAUUGUCUUCUUUCAUUGCUUCAAUCCUUUUCCAACUUUGCUGAAAUUAUAUGAAGUUUCCUACAUGUAUAUGUGAAGUUAUAUACAUAUAUAUUAAAUAUAAUGAAAUUAAAAGGGAGAGUACCUUCUCUUCUGAACCAGAUGUCUCUGGGAAACUUGACCUUUCUUAGCUUUCUUGCUAUUAUGAGUGAUGUCCCUCAGUCCUGCGCAAACAGCAGUUGACAUAGUACCCCUUGGCCUGAAGGUUGAACUUAGCUGAUUGGUAUACUUGGUGGUUAUCAUGCUAGCUCUUGAAUGAUACAUGGACUUUAUU